rnacentral:lncRNA from 1 species
CCGACUGCCGUGAACGAGAUCUCUCUGCGAGGAGCUCGGGAAAUCGGAGAGAAUCACGACAGAUGCAGAGCAGCAGAGGCGAACGCUGUUGCAGCCUGCAGAGACGCGCAGAGGCGAACGACAGGCGCGCGAUGCCGGUGAACGGUGGAGUGGUGAACGGUGGAACGGUGGAAUGGCGUGGAGUUGGAAACUUGGAGUUGGAGGAACCUUGGAGGCGCGCUGCUGUGCUGAAGCGUGAAAUUCAAAACCAAAGCAAACCCUAAAGCUAAAAUCAUAAUAUUUCAAUUUUAAUUUUUUUUUUUUUAAAAUUCGAUAGCCCGACGGGCUGGCCCGACAACCCGCCGGGCUGGCCCGCUUCAACCCGACAGCCCGAACGGGCUAGCCCGAUUAGCCCGAUUUGUAAUCGGGUUGUGAUUUUCCAACCCUAACCCUCUAAUUUUGUCGGGUUAUUCGGGUCGGCCCACGGGUUUCGGGCUGCAUUGACAUCCCUAA